GCCUUGCUAGUUGAUAGCUGUCUUUCACCCUCCUCCAACGAAGCAGGCACAUAUGUCCUAUAUCCACAUAGGUGCAACAAAGGUAGUGAAUCACGAAAGCCUCUAUCUAAUAUAAAUGCAUCACUUCGUUGGAAAUAUUCUUGCAAAGGUCUUCCAUUUGAAAAUUCGUUUUGCAUGAUGUCAGCAUCAGAUGUUGUAGCUGGGUAUGGGCCCAAAACAUCAAUAAUAUGGCCAUCAGUACAAACAAUUAAAAAUGGUUUUAAGAGAUUUCUAUAUUUGUGCAUGCUAUAUGAUUUUUUUUGAUACAAAUAAUGAGAACUUUUUUCUACAUAACAAUAGGUGCCAAAAAAAUUACUACUGGCUUUUCAACACCCUCAAAGCUUCCAAACAGUGAUUUGGGUAUUGUUAAGAUUUCUAUCACUCACUUUUAGCAAAAUUGCCAAUCUUUCAGUGGAGUCACCAGUUCUGAGUUUCAUAAGAUAAGCAGCCAAAGCUAAUGUUGCAUUUGGAAUUUCUAACAACUGAGGAACUUCAGUGCGCAUCUGAUGGAACUGAGCUUUAUUCAAUCCAGUCCAUUAAAAGACUGUACAUAAUUGGACCUUAAACUGUCAAGAAAAUCCCAUGCUUCGAUAAUCAAAUGUUGACCACAAAGACGGUUAUUUUCAGUUUCAGAAGCUCUCAUGUAUUCCGGCAAUACAAUAGUAGGUUCUGGUUGGUUGCCUCUAACUUCAUCAUUGGGGGACACAGAGACCGUGUGAACAGCAGCCACCCAACAACCAUGACACACACGACUUCCUGCUUCUAUCUGUAACAAACAUACUUAAUUAAAAUUGGAGUUUAUUAAGAUAA